rnacentral:tmRNA from 2 species
GGGGGCGAAACGGCUUCGACGUGUCUGGCGAGUUCGAGGCUGCGUGCCGAGGUCCGGGGACCUCGCAAAAACUCCGGAAACGUUACAAAUGCCAACACUGACUUGGCCUUGGCCGCUUAACCAACAAGCAGCCCGCUUCCCGCUCUGCCCGCCCGAGGCGGGGCGAAGAGGCGUCGACAAUUCGGGCUGGUCCACCGAUCCCUGCCGCCGGAUCGGAGGACGAGACGACCGGUGGCUAGCCCGGGCAGGGCUGUUCGCCGUCCCUCCCGGUAGUGAACCCCAGCGGUGAUCUACGCACGUAGACGUCUUGAAGGACCCAUUCGCGGACGCGGGUUCGACUCCCGCCGCCUCCACUU